rnacentral:rRNA from 1 species
AACGGCUUGGCCGCGCCGCGUACCAGUUGCGAGGGUCUCCGUUGGUGAACCAGCGGAGGGAUCAUUACAGAGUUAUCCAACUCCCAAACCCAUGUGAACUUAUCUCUUUGUUGCCUCGGCGCAAGCUACCCGGGACCCAGCGCCCCGGGCGGCCCGCCGGCGGACAAACCAAACUCUUGUUAUUCAAUGGAUUAUCUGAGCGUCUUAUUUAAUAAGUCAAAACUUUCAACAACGGAUCUCUUGGUUCUGGCAUCGAUGAAGAACGCAGCGAAAUGCGAUAAGUAAUGUGAAUUGCAGAAUUCAGUGAAUCAUCGAAUCUUUGAACGCACAUUGCGCCCAUCAGUAUUCUGGUGGGCAUGCCUGUUCGAGCGUCAUUUCAACCCCUAAGCACAGCUUACUGUUGGGACUCUACGGCCUCCGUAGUUCCCCAAAGCCAUUGGCGGAGUGGCAGUAGUGUUUUACUCAGAAGUUACAUAUAGAAACAGAGUUUAGGGGUCCUCUGGCGGGCCGUCCCGUUUUACCGGGAGCGGGCUGAUCCGCCGAGGCAACAAUUGGUAUGUUCACAGGGGUUUGGGAGUUGUAAACUCGGUAAUGAUCCCUCCGCAGGUUCACCC